rnacentral:rRNA from 1 species
AUACGAAGGGGGCUAGCGUUGUUCGGAAUCACUGGGCGUAAAGCGCGCGUAGGUGGAUCAAUUAGUUGAGGGUGAGAUCCCGGGGCUCAACCUCGGAACUGCCUUCAAUACUGUUGAUCUUGAGACCGAGAGAGGUGAGUGGAAUUCCUAGUGUAGAGGUGAAAUUCGUAGAUAUUAGGAAGAACACCAGUGGCGAAGGCGGCUCACUGGCUCGGUACUGACGCUGAGGUGCGAAAGCGUGGGGAGCAAACAGGAUUAGAAACCCUAGUAGUCC